UCCUGGCUCAAGAUGAACGCCGGCGGUGUGCCUAAUACAUGCAAGUCGUACGCACUGGCCCAACUGAUUGAUGGUGCUUGCACCUGAUUGACGAUGGAUCACCAGUGAGUGGCGGACGGGUGAGUAACACGUAGGUAACCUGCCUCGGAGCGGGGGAUAACAUUUGGAAACAGAUGCUAAUACCGCAUAACAACAAAAGCCACAUGGCUUUUGUUUGAAAGAUGGCUUUGGCUAUCACUCUGGGAUGGACCUGCGGUGCAUUAGCUAGUUGGUAAGGUAACGGCUUACCAAGGCAAUGAUGCAUAGCCGAGUUGAGAGACUGAUCGGCCACAAUGGAACUGAGACACGGUCCAUACUCCUACGGGAGGCAGCAGUAGGGAAUCUUCCACAAUGGGCGCAAGCCUGAUGGAGCAACACCGCGUGAGUGAAGAAGGGUUUCGGCUCGUAAAGCUCUGUUGUUGGAGAAGAACGUGCGUGAGAGUAACUGUUCACGCAGUGACGGUAUCCAACCAGAAAGUCACGGCUAACUACGUGCCAGCAGCCGCGGUAAUACGUAGGUGGCAAGCGUUAUCCGGAUUUAUUGGGCGUAAAGCGAGCGCAGGCGGUUGCUUAGGUCUGAUGUGAAAGCCUUCGGCUUAACCGAAGAAGUGCAUCGGAAACCGGGCGACUUGAGUGCAGAAGAGGACAGUGGAACUCCAUGUGUAGCGGUGGAAUGCGUAGAUAUAUGGAAGAACACCUGUGGCGAAGGCGGCUGUCUGGUCUGCAACUGACGCUGAGGCUCGAAAGCAUGGGUAGCGAACAGGAUUAGAUACCCUGGUAGUCCAUGCCGUAAACGAUGAGUGCUAGGUGUUGGAGGGUUUCCGCCCUUCAGUGCCGGAGCUAACGCAUUAAGCACUCCGCCUGGGGAGUACGACCGCAAGGUUGAAACUCAAAGGAAUUGACGGGGGCCCGCACAAGCGGUGGAGCAUGUGGUUUAAUUCGAAGCUACGCGAAGAACCUUACCAGGUCUUGACAUCUUGCGCUAACCUUAGAGAUAAGGCGUUCCCUUCGGGGACGCAAUGACAGGUGGUGCAUGGUCGUCGUCAGCUCGUGUCGUGAGAUGUUGGGUUAAGUCCCGCAACGAGCGCAACCCUUGUUACUAGUUGCCAGCAUUAAGUUGGGCACUCUAGUGAGACUGCCGGUGACAAACCGGAGGAAGGUGGGGACGACGUCAGAUCAUGAUGCCCCUUAUGACCUGGGCUACACACGUGCUACAAUGGACGGUACAACGAGUCGCAAGCUCGCGAGAGUAAGCUAAUCUCUUAAAGCCGUUCUCAGUUCGGACUGUAGGCUGCAACUCGCCUACACGAAGUCGGAAUCGCUAGUAAUCGCGGAUCAGCAUGCCGCGGUGAAUACGUUCCCGGGCCUUGUACACACCGCCCGUCA
rnacentral:rRNA from 1 species